UUAGAUAAUAACUUUUGUACAUCUAUUUCUAGAUGCAGGUAAUGUAAAUUCACUUAGUAAUUGUUAUUUGCUGAAAAUAAUCAUGUUUCUGUUAUAGUAUCUAUUUUGAAAUAUUGAUGUUGGCUUUUCCAUGGAAAUAUGUUUAUAAUGCGGAGAAUGUUCUCUUGUAACUGAGGUGUGGUUUCAUUAAAUAUUUACUCUUAUAUAUUUGUAAUUGUAUUUUGCAAUUAACCAUAGUUUACUAAUAUGCUAGUGCGAAAAAGUUUUAAUUUUAGUUUAUCUUCAAUAGGUGAAAUUGGUAAUCAGACUGAUUAUAUCAACAUGGACCAUCCCACAUCUUCUCAGGCUCUAAG
rnacentral:lncRNA from 1 species